rnacentral:tRNA from 1 species
UAUAUUGUGGUGUAUGAUGCACAAUAAUUUUUGAUAUUAUAAGUAAUAGUUUAAUUCUAUUUAAUGUAA